GUCUUCGUGGCUCAGUCGGUAGAGCGUUGGUCUCAUAUUACUGUCAAUAUGACUCUGUCCACAGGCAGAGAUAUCCAAAGGUCGAGAGUUCGAGCCUCUCCGAGGACA
rnacentral:tRNA from 1 species